AGUGAACGCUGGCGGCAGGCCUAACACAUACAAGUCGAACGGCAGCACAGUAAGAGCUGUCCUUUACGGGUGGCGAGUGGCGGACGGGUGAGGAAUACAGCGGCAUCUACUUUUUCGUGUGGAAUAACGUAGGGCAACUUACGCUAAUACCUCAUACGACCUACGGGGGGAUUCAGGAGAUCUUGGGACCUUGCGCGAAUGAAUGAGCCGAUGUCGGAUUAGCUAGUUGGCGGGGUAAAGGCCCACCAAGGCGACGAUCCGUAGCUGGUCUGAGAGGAUGAUCAGCCACACUGGAACUGAGACACGGUCCAGACUCCUACGGGAGGCAGCAGUGGGGAAUAUUGGACAAUGGGCGCAAGCCUGAUCCAGCCAUACCGCGUGGGUGAAGAAGGCCUUCGGGUUGUAAAGCCCUUUUGUUGGGAAAGAAAAGCAGCAGGUUAAUACCCCGCUGUUCUGACGGUACCCAAAGAAUAAGCACCGGCUAACUUCGUG
rnacentral:rRNA from 1 species